rnacentral:lncRNA from 1 species
UUUUAGGUGUAAAGUGCAAAUACAAAGCCACCACUGUUUUUGAAACAAAACUUAAGCAAAAACUAUUACACGGAUACAACAUUAACCAUUGUAAAAAAACACUAUUGAUCAAACAGGCAAAAACAUUAAUCCACCAAAGCAUAAUUAAAAAUAAUUUUGGAAAUCACAUAUAACAACAGUAUUGAACUGUAAAACAACAUGUAUCUGCAAAAAUCAAAUUAAACACGAAUCGGCAAGAAUUUUUACUGCCGGAAAAAAAUGAAAUCAAUCGAAAAUUUGGGAAACUAGUUCGAAAGCAUUGGAAUCGAUAAAACGGAACGAACACAAACCUUUUCUCAUGAAUUAACAAUUGCAUGUUGUUUUCGCCGGUUGAUUCAGGUGCUUUCCGAAAUCGACUGGUCGUCGCAGUAGGGGUCGUCGGUGGUUGCUUAUCAGAGCGAGUACGUGUCAUCAGGGGAAUAUAGGGGUCGGUCGUGGCGGCAUCAACUCCUUAAGGGAUCCAGCUUCUGAAGAGAAUUCGGUGAAAUUAUCAGACGGCCCAAACGAACGAGAUCGCAGAAGAGGGAUGGUUUUUUUGAGAGGUUUUGGAGAGAGAAAGUUUUAGAGAAAUAAUUUGUGUGAAAUUGUGAAUUUGCAACAAAUUGGAUAAAAUAUUAAAUUUGAUUUCAACUUCCCAAAAUGUAUCAUAAUGAUAUUAGAUCCGGAUGUUCACGGCUUCAUAUCAAUCAUUCUAAAUAUCAACCUAACUUUGCUGAUACUCGGUACUAGAAGAGUAGAAGUGGGAACAAACCGAUUCCAAUUUAGAGUUCCAAUAAUCAAAUUGGUGUACCUAGACACCGAGUAAGAUAGCCGUCGCCGCAAUCGAGGUCGUCACUACACACUCGUCGCCGUCUGAGUCUCCGGAAGAGCUCGUCCUAAUCGGAGAGUUGUCGUCGUCCGUCGCCGAUUAAGAUAGCAGCCGCUGCAAUCGAGGUCGUCACUAGACACUCGUAUCCGUGACUCUGGGUCUCCGGAAGAGCUCGUCCUCAUCGGAGAGUCGUCGUCCGCCGUCGCCAUGGAGUAGGGUUCAGAAAGGGGUUUUGCUUCCCUCGACUAUGUGAGUUCGCGAGAGAGAGGAGGGAGGAAGGGCAUUAGGAUAGGGUUGACUGUGUGUUGACUGUUGGGAAAGAG